GUCUCUCGCUGCCGCCGGAGUUUCCAGGUCUCGACUUCGCUGCUCUGUGUCCUCUGCUCCAGGAGGCCCAGCCUGUGUGGCCCUGUGACCUGCAGGUAUUGGAGAGCCACAGCUAAGACGCCAGGAACCCCUGGAAGCCUAGAAAUGGGACUGUUGACAUUUAGGGAUGUGGCCAUAGAAUUCUCUCCGGAGGAGUGGCAAUGUCUGGACACUGCACAGCAGAAUUUAUAUAGGAAUGUGAUGUUAGAGAACUACAGAAACCUGGCCUUCCUGGGUAUUGCUCUCUCUAAGCCAGACCUGAUUACUUGUCUGGAGCAAGGAAAAGAGCCCUGGAAUAUGAAGCAACAUGAGAUGGUGGAUGAACCCACAGGGCCCAGACAGAAGAGAAGAGUCACAUCAUCUAGAUGAUGAAUGAAAAGAUAUGUCAUUAUUCUCCUUUGGGCAGUGCUUCUGCAGAAAAGUUGCACCUUCUAGGUGUUGGACUCAGCAAUAUAUCACAAUGUCUGCGGUAUUUUGGAAGGAGAGGAGAGUCACCAUUACUUAGGUGCUAGGCCCAGCAAUACAU
rnacentral:sRNA from 1 species